GGGUUGUGAGGUUAAGCGACUAAGCGUACACGGUGGAUGCCCUGGCAGUCAGAGGCGAUGAAGGACGUGCUAAUCUGCGAUAAGCGCCGGUAAGGUGAUAUGAACCGUUAUAACCGGCGAUUUCCGAAUGGGGAAACCCAGUGUGACUCGUCACACUAUCAUUAACUGAAUCCAUAGGUUAAUGAGGCGAACCGGGGGAACUGAAACAUCUAAGUACCCCGAGGAAAAGAAAUCAACCGAGAUUCCCCCAGUAGCGGCGAGCGAACGGGGAGGAGCCCAGAGCCUGAAUCAGCAUGUGUGUUAGUGGAAGCGUCUGGAAAGGCGCGCGAUACAGGGUGACAGCCCCGUACACAAAAGCGCAUGUGCUGUGAGCUCGAUGAGUAGGGCGGGACACGUGGUAUCCUGUCUGAAUAUGGGGGGACCAUCCUCCAAGGCUAAAUACUCCUGACUGACCGAUAGUGAACCAGUACCGUGAGGGAAAGGCGAAAAGAACCCCGGCGAGGGGAGUGAAAAAGAACCUGAAACCGUGUACGUACAAGCAGUGGGAGCACCCUUUGGGGUGUGACUGCGUACCUUUUGUAUAAUGGGUCAGCGACUUAUAUUCUGUAGCAAGGUUAACCGUAUAGGGGAGCCGUAGGGAAACCGAGUCUUAACCGGGCGUUAAGUUGCAGGGUAUAGACCCGAAACCCGGUGAUCUAGCCAUGGGCAGGUUGAAGGUUGGGUAACACUAACUGGAGGACCGAACCGACUAAUGUUGAAAAAUUAGCGGAUGACCUGUGGCUGGGGGUGAAAGGCCAAUCAAACCGGGAGAUAGCUGGUUCUCCCCGAAAGCUAUUUAGGUAGCGCCUCGUGAAUUCAUCUCCGGGGGUAGAGCACUGUUUCGGCUAGGGGGCCAUCCCGGCUUACCAACCCGAUGCAAACUGCGAAUACCGGAGAAUGUUAUCACGGGAGACACACGGCGGGUGCUAACGUCCGUCGUGAAGAGGGAAACAACCCAGACCGCCAGCUAAGGUCCCAAAGUCAUGGUUAAGUGGGAAACGAUGUGGGAAGGCCCAGACAGCCAGGAUGUUGGCUUAGAAGCAGCCAUCAUUUAAAGAAAGCGUAAUAGCUCACUGGUCGAGUCGGCCUGCGCGGAAGAUGUAACGGGGCUAAACCAUGCACCGAAGCUGCGGCAGCGACACUGUGUGUUGUUGGGUAGGGGAGCGUUCUGUAAGCCUGUGAAGGUGUGUCGUGAGGCAUGCUGGAGGUAUCAGAAGUGCGAAUGCUGACAUAAGUAACGAUAAAGCGGGUGAAAAGCCCGCUCGCCGGAAGACCAAGGGUUCCUGUCCAACGUUAAUCGGGGCAGGGUGAGUCGACCCCUAAGGCGAGGCCGAAAGGCGUAGUCGAUGGGAAACGGGUUAAUAUUCCCGUACUUGGUGUUACUGCGAAGGGGGGACGGAGAAGGCUAUGUUGGCCGGGCGACGGUUGUCCCGGUUUAAGCGUGUAGGUGUGUGUUCCAGGUAAAUCCGGUUCACUUUAACACUGAGGCGUGACGACGAGGCACUACGGUGCUGAAGCAACAAAUGCCCUGCUUCCAGGAAAAGCCUCUAAGCAUCAGGUAACAUCAAAUCGUACCCCAAACCGACACAGGUGGUCAGGUAGAGAAUACCAAGGCGCUUGAGAGAACUCGGGUGAAGGAACUAGGCAAAAUGGUGCCGUAACUUCGGGAGAAGGCACGCUGACACGUAGGUGAAGUGAUUUACUCAUGGAGCUGAAGUCAGUCGAAGAUACCAGCUGGCUGCAACUGUUUAUUAAAAACACAGCACUGUGCAAACACGAAAGUGGACGUAUACGGUGUGACGCCUGCCCGGUGCCGGAAGGUUAAUUGAUGGGGUCAGCGCAAGCGAAGCUCCUGAUCGAAGCCCCGGUAAACGGCGGCCGUAACUAUAACGGUCCUAAGGUAGCGAAAUUCCUUGUCGGGUAAGUUCCGACCUGCACGAAUGGCGUAAUGAUGGCCAGGCUGUCUCCACCCGAGACUCAGUGAAAUUGAACUCGCUGUGAAGAUGCAGUGUACCCGCGGCAAGACGGAAAGACCCCGUGAACCUUUACUAUAGCUUGACACUGAACAUUGAGCCUUGAUGUGUAGGAUAGGUGGGAGGCUUUGAAGCGUGGACGCCAGUCUGCGUGGAGCCGACCUUGAAAUACCACCCUUUAAUGUUUGAUGUUCUAACGUGGACCCGUAAUCCGGGUUGCGGACAGUGUCUGGUGGGUAGUUUGACUGGGGCGGUCUCCUCCUAAAGAGUAACGGAGGAGCACGAAGGUUGGCUAAUCCUGGUCGGACAUCAGGAGGUUAGUGCAAUGGCAUAAGCCAGCUUGACUGCGAGCGUGACGGCGCGAGCAGGUGCGAAAGCAGGUCAUAGUGAUCCGGUGGUUCUGAAUGGAAGGGCCAUCGCUCAACGGAUAAAAGGUACUCCGGGGAUAACAGGCUGAUACCGCCCAAGAGUUCAUAUCGACGGCGGUGUUUGGCACCUCGAUGUCGGCUCAUCACAUCCUGGGGCUGAAGUAGGUCCCAAGGGUAUGGCUGUUCGCCAUUUAAAGUGGUACGCGAGCUGGGUUUAGAACGUCGUGAGACAGUUCGGUCCCUAUCUGCCGUGGGCGCUGGAGAACUGAGGGGGGCUGCUCCUAGUACGAGAGGACCGGAGUGGACGCAUCACUGGUGUUCGGGUUGUCAUGCCAAUGGCACUGCCCGGUAGCUAAAUGCGGAAGAGAUAAGUGCUGAAAGCAUCUAAGCACGAAACUUGCCCCGAGAUGAGUUCUCCCUGAGACUUAGAGUCUCCUGAAGGAACGUUGAAGACGACGACGUUGAUAGGCCGGGUGUGUAAGCGCAGCGAUGCGUUGAGCUAACCGGUACUAAUGAACCGUGAGGCUUAACCUUACAACGCCGAAG
rnacentral:rRNA from 3 species